UACGAAGGGAGCUAGCGUUGUUCGGAAUCACUGGGCGUAAAGCGCACGUAGGCGGAUGUGUCAGUCAGGGGUGAAAUCCCGGAGCUCAACUUCGGAACUGCCUUUGAUACAGCACAUCUGGAGUCCGGAAGAGGUGGGUGGAAUUCCUAGUGUAGAGGUGAAAUUCGUAGAUAUUAGGAAGAACACCGGUGGCGAAGGCGGCCCACUGGUCCGGUACUGACGCUGAGGUGCGAAAGCUAGGGUAGCAAACGGG
rnacentral:rRNA from 1 species